CCUAGUUGAUUUGGCUAGUAGUAAUAUGCUUGUCUCAAAGAUUAAGCCAUGCAUGUGAAACUAUGAACUAAUUUAGAUUGUGUAAUUGUGAAUGGCUCAUUAAAUCAAUUAUAGUUUGUUUGAUGGUAUCCAUUACUCGGAUAACCAUAGUAAUUCUAGAGCUAAUAUGUGAAACAAACCUUAACUUUUGAAAAUGAUGCAUUUAUUAGAAAAAAAGUCAAAGCAGGCUUUUCUUAUUGCUUUGAUAAUCAUGAUAACUUGACGAAUCGCACAGCCUUUGUGCCAAUGACACAUCAUUCAAAAUUUUGCCUUAUCAACUUUCAAUGGUAGGAUAGUGGCCUACUAUGGUGGUGACGAGUGACAAAGAAUCAGGGUUCAAUUCUAGAGAGAGAGCCUGAGAAAUGGCUACCACGUCCAAAAAAGGUAGCAAGUGCAUAAAUUACCUAAUCUAACAUGGAGAGGUAGUGACAAUAAAUAACAAUAUUAGGAUUUAUGAGUAUGGUAAUUAGAAUGAGUACAAUCUAAAUCCCUUAAUGAUGAUCAAUUAAAGGGCAAGUCUGGUGCUAGCAACCAUAGUAAUUUUAUCUCCAAUAGCAUUUAUUUAAGUUGUUGUAGUUAAAAAGCUAGUAGUUAAAACUAGGGUUAGGUCAUUUAGUCUAUCUUAUAGUGAGCACUGAUAUACUUGUCCCUACUAUCGAUGAUGCACUCCUAACCUUAAUUGGUAAGGUUAUUCAUCUAGCACUAUUACUUUGAAGAAAUUAGAGUGCUCAAAGUAGGCCUACACUUGUAUACAUUAGCAUAGGAUAACAUCAUAAGAUUUUGAUCCUAUUGUGUUGACCUUCAAGAUCGGAUUAAUGAUUAAUAAAGACAAUCAAGGGCAUUCAAAUUUCAUAGUCAGAGUUGAAAUUAUUGAAUUUAAGAAAGAUGAACAACUAUGAAAGCAUUUACCAAGGAUGUUUUCAUCAAUCAAGAAUGAAAGUUGGGGGCCGAAAAAUGAUCAGAUACUAUCCUAAUCUCAACCAUAAAUGAUGCUGACCAGGGAUUGGUGGAUAUUACUUUUAGGACUAUGCCAGCACCUUAUGAGAAUCAAACUCUUUAGGUUCUAGAAAGAGUAUGGUUAUGAGUUUGAAACUUAAAGGGAUUAAUGGAAGAACACCACCAAGAGUAGAGCCUACAGCUUAAUUUGACUCAAUAUAGGGAAACUUACUAGGUUUAGACAUACUAAGGAUUGAUGGACUAAGAGCUCUUUCUUGACUUUAUUGGUGGUGGUGCAUGGCCAUUCUUAGUUGGUAGAGCGAUUUGUCUAGUUAAUUCCAUUAACAAAUGAGAUCACAGCUUGCUAACUAGCUACAUAGAGGUGAUCCUUCAUGGCUAGCUUCUUAGAGGGACUAUGGUCACUUAGGUCAAGAAAGUUUGAGGCAAUAAUAGGUCUACAAUGCCCUUAGAUGUUCCAAGCCACAUGUGUGCUACAAUGAUGUAUUUAAUGAGCCCAUAGCAUUGGCCAACAAGCUAGGUAAUCAUUGAAAUUUAAUCAUGAUAGGGAUAGAUCAUUGUAAAUGUUGGUCUUCAAUGAGGAAUUCCUAGUGAGCAUAAGUCAUCACCUUGCAUUGACUAUAUCCCUACCCUUUGUAGACAUCACUCAUUGCUCUUACCAAUUGAAUGUUCUAGCAAAGUGUUCAAAAAUAAAGAGGUAGUGACAAUAAAUAACAAUACUGGGGUCUAUGAGUUUGGCAAUUAGAAUGGGUAUAAUUUAAAUCCCUUAGUGAG
rnacentral:rRNA from 1 species